UAAAACCUCUGUGUGAGUCCUUCUGUGCAUGUGUGUAUAAGCAACUUCUAGGGAGAGGUGCCUGCUCCAAAUGAGAAGCCCCGGAUCACAGCAGUAACCCUUGCUGUUGAGAUGGGAUGCCUUAGCAGAUAAGGAUCCAGCUUGGAUCACACCCAGCUGCACAGCCCUUUCUCAGAGAAGUGUGAGCACUAAGAGGGUUCGAAGGCUGAGGAAGAAGAAAACAGGAACUACUGGUCUUGGGUUUAGAUUCUAAAAGUUAAAGAGCAACUCAGUGAGAUAGCUUUUAAUUUGGACCCACAGUCUGUUCAUUUAAAUGUGCAACUCCAGCACUUUCAGUCUUACCUGGAACGGCCUGGCCAUUCGGAGAAGCUGUACCCCACCGGUUUGGGCAAACACAGUGUUGAUUGAUAUGGUGUGUCACUAAACACAGUUCCAAUGAUGGCUGUGACUCAGAUGUAUUGCCUUCAGUUGCACACUUACACUCUCAAGGCAUGACCUCUGUAACUAAUAUGUGACAGAUGGGAGUACUUCGCAGAAAGUGUCCCCCUAGGCCCUCGCACAGACAUUGCAGGGAGCAGGGAGCAGGGAGGUAUUUAGUGCUAAAGCCCUGCUAAAAUUCCCAAAAGUGACUUUCCACUGGGUGACCAUUUCAGUGGCAAUGCUUUUCUUCAGGACCUGUGGCAUUGUCCUACGUCCUGCAUUAUGUAAUAAUUGUUGAAAGUAAUUACUUGUGGUAGUUAUUCUUUUUAGUGUAAGUUGCACGCACUUUCUCAAGCAAGCAACAUGGUUUGCCUUUUAUAUUUGUAUUAUUGGGCUCUCCACGUAAUCCAUUUCAAAAUUCUAUUAUAUGAACUUGCUUUUUCCUUUCCUGUCAUCAAUGAGAGUCAUUUGUAGAAUCAAUAGUAAAUGCUCCCCAACCUUCAAUUCAAUAUCAGACUGCAGCUCAGCUCCAGCAGACAUUUUUGGGUAAUGAAAAGCAGAUAUUUAUUUGUGUCUGUUUCAUAACAUUUCUAUGUAUGUCCAUGUACAUCUAUGCAUUUGCCUCGCUCUGAACUAAUUAUUUUUGUUG